UACAGAGGUCCCAAGCGUUGUUCGGAUUCAUUGGGCGUAAAGGGUGCGUAGGCGGCGCGGUAAGUCGGGUGUGAAAUCUCGGGGCUUAACUCCGAAACUGCAUUCGAUACUGCCGUGCUUGAGGACUGGAGAGGAGACUGGAAUUUACGGUGUAGCGGUGAAAUGCGUAGAUAUCGUAAGGAAGACCAGUGGCGAAGGCGGGUCUCUGGACAGUUCCUGACGCUGAAGCACGAAGGUCAGGGGAGCAAACGGG
rnacentral:rRNA from 1 species